UUCCCAUCUUAUUCUCUCACCUCUCUCUUCUUUCUCUAUCUAGCUUGUUUAUCAAAAUUGCAACUUCAAACUUGUUUAUCUUCAAAUUUUUCGCCUACUACGGUGAAUGAUGAAGCCAAUACACCAAGCCCAUUUGAGAGCGCACCUCAAAGUCAGUAGCAAGACCAACUAGUCAAACCUGAUGAAGUUUUCCAAGAUCUAAUUUUUAUUUUGUUGGGAAUAUUGCCUCCUUAAGACAUUGAUUUUGAUUUUGGACUGUACAGUAAAUUAUUAUGUGUAAACUAUGGUUAGUUUUA